rnacentral:rRNA from 1 species
CACGUGGUUAGCCGUGGCUUUCUGGUUAGAUACCGUCAGGGGACGUUCAGUUACUAACGUCCUUGUUCUUCUCUAACAACAGAGUUUUACGAUCCGAAAACCUUCUUCACUCACGCGGCGUUGCUCGGUCAGACUUUCGUCCAUUGCCGAAGAUUCCCUACUGCUGCCUCCCGUAGGAGUCUGGGCCGUGUCUCAGUCCCAGUGUGGCCGAUCACCCUCUCAGGUCGGCUAUGCAUCGUGGCCUUGGUGAGCCGUUACCUCACCAACUAGCUAAUGCACCGCGGGUCCAUCCAUCAGCGACACCCGAAAGCGCCUUUCACUCUUAUGCCAUGCGGCAUAAACUGUUAUGCGGUAUUAGCACCUGUUUCCAAGUGUUAUCCCCCUCUGAUGGGUAGGUUACCCACGUGUUACUCACCCGUCCGCCACUCCUCUUUCCAAUUGAGUGCAAGCACUCGGGAGAAAGAGCGUUCGACUUGCAUGUAUUAGGCACGCCGCCAGCGUC